CUUGCUUCUCUUGAGAGCGGCGGACGGGUGAGUAAUGCCUAGGAAUCUGCCUGGUAGUGGGGGAUAACGUCCGGAAACGGACGCUAAUACCGCAUACGUCCUACGGGAGAAAGCAGGGGACCUUCGGGCCUUGCGCUAUCAGAUGAGCCUAGGUCGGAUUAGCUAGUUGGUGGGGUAAUGGCUCACCAAGGCGACGAUCCGUAACUGGUCUGAGAGGAUGAUCAGUCACACUGGAACUGAGACACGGUCCAGACUCCUACGGGAGGCAGCAGUGGGGAAUAUUGGACAAUGGGCGAAAGCCUGAUCCAGCCAUGCCGCGUGUGUGAAGAAGGUCUUCGGAUUGUAAAGCACUUUAAGUUGGGAGGAAGGGCAGUAAAUUAAUACUUUGCUGUUUUGACGUUACCGACAGAAUAAGCACCGGCUAACUCUGUGCCGGCAGCCGCGGUAAUACAGAGGGUGCAAGCGUUAAUCGGAAUUACUGGGCGUAAAGCGCGCGUAGGUGGUUCGUUAAGUUGGAUGUGAAAUCCCCGGGCUCAACCUGGGAACUGCAUUCAAAACUGACGAGCUAGAGUAUGGUAGAGGGUGGUGGAAUUUCCUGUGUAGCGGUGAAAUGCGUAGAUAUAGGAAGAGAACACCAUUGGCGAAGGCGACCACCCUGGACUG
rnacentral:rRNA from 1 species